rnacentral:rRNA from 1 species
CAGCACCUCAAGUGGUCAGGAUGAUUAUUGGGCCUAAAGCAUCCGUAGCCGGCGCUGUAAGUUUUCGGUUAAAUCUGUACGCUCAACGUACAGGCUGCCGGGAAUACUGCAGCGCUAGGGAGUGGGAGAGGUAGACGGUACUCGGUAGGAAGGGGUAAAAUCCUUUGAUCUAUUGAUGACCACCUGUGGCGAAGGCGGUCUACCAGAACACGUCCGACGGUGAGGGAUGAAAGCUGGGGAGCAAACCGGAUUAGAGACCCGCGUAGUCC